rnacentral:tRNA from 1 species
GAGCUUAUCGUUCAAAUGGAUAGGACAGAAACCUUCUAAGUUUCCGAUGUAGGUUCAAUUCCUACUAAGCUC